AACAUAACAGAGCUCGAGAUAAACGUCUCACUGAGUAGGCCUCUCACCCUCAUCUCUCUUCACUGCCCUUCCACACAGACAGGAGAGGAGUAAUGGCCAUGGCUGCCCUGGGCCUCUCUCUGCAGGAUGCAGGCAGCUGCCGUCGGUGGAAGCUUUAAGUUCAGAAAUAAAGGCCAUAACCUGCCGAGCGUAUUUGUAGUAAGAUGCCAUACAAAUUCAAGGCCACCGCCUCCCCUGGCACCGUCUAACUGGGCGUCUCCUGUGACUAUGGUGACUGCUGUGACUCCCUGGGAUCUCUGAGAUAGAAACACCAGGAGGGUAAUUUCCUUCUGGCCUUCUCUCUAGACUCCUCCCAAAUCAAAAGACCCAUGUCGUUCAGAUCUAAGGCUGGGAGGGUAAAGGGGUUGAAAGGUGCUCCGCUUCUGUAUGAAUUCCUCAUUCAGCCAGGCUGACCGGCUCCAAAUUCAUUACAAUUUUUGGAAAGAGAUAGUGAAGAAGAGUGGGAGGGAGGCAGUUUGAGAGGCUUUGAGAGAAAAAGAUAAGGAAAAGGAGAGGGAGGGAAAGUGGGACUUUCCCUCUGACUUUUAGAGUUUUAAGAGCAAAUUUUUGUGUGCCCUUUUUAGAAUUCCACACAAUGCUAUUUUUUUUUCUUUUUUUACACAAUGGUAAAUUUGAGACAAAAGGUAUAUAGAGUGUAUACGGGGAAUGUCAUUGGAUGAAUGAAGGUCAAAGGUUAUUUAAACGAGGGAGGGAGUUGUUUAUUGGUGGUUACUAAAUCUCUACAGUGUAUUUUUAGACCUCUCAUUGGAUUGUAAGAUAAGGUGAGGAAAACAGGAUUUCUAAGUAUUGCUCAGCAGCAAUUUAGCAAUCUUUGGGAUAGCCAUCAAAAAUUUCCUUGUACCAAGUUAUCUCACUAAAAGUUUUCAAAAUGUGCCCUUGGGUGUUAAGGGAGAGGGGACUGAGUGGUAGGGGGUGGUGCAAGGGUGUCCCAGGUGAGCUGCCCACUAGUGCAGAUUCGGUGUAGCUCUUCCAAGUCUUUGGUGAUGACCAAGGUGGGACCGUUUCCACCACACAAGCAGCAAGCUCCAAAUCAGUGUUUCUGGGAGAGCUUCUCGUCAAAAACAUUUACCAGCAUACCCCUGGAGCAG
rnacentral:lncRNA from 1 species